AGUCGAGCGAGGUAGCAAUACCUAGCGGCAGACGGGUGCGUAACAUGUGGGAAUCUGCCUUUUGGUUCGGAAUAACAAGAGGAAACUUGUGCUAAUACCGGAUAAGUCUUUACGGAGAAAGCUUUAUGCACCAUUGGAUGAGCCCGCAUUUGAUUAGUUUGUUGGUGAGGUAAUAGCUCACCAAGACUACAAUCAAUAGCUGUUCUUAGAGGAAGACCAGCCACAUUGGGACUGAGACACGGUCCAGACUCC
rnacentral:rRNA from 1 species